rnacentral:lncRNA from 1 species
CAUUGCAUGUUAUUAUUCUGAUGUCCUUUCUUGUCAGGUUACUAUACGUUAUUUUGCCGAGUCGUUAUCUUACACUUGCAAUCGGGAGUGCGUGAUUUUGCACUAUGACCUCACUGCGGCUUCGAGAUAAAAAUUAACAACAAAGCCGUUUUAUAAGAUAUUUUUUUCUUCAUGUGCAGUGCAUGUAAUGAAAUUGUGUCAUGAUUUGAUUUAAUUUUUGGUGUUGUAGCGCCACUUUUAAGCACCGCAUUUAGGCUAUUUCGUAGCGGCCAGUUUUAUAGGCGGAGGAAGUCGGAGUGCAUGGAGAAAACUAUCGACCUUCGAUAGGAAAACUGACAAUCCUAGUCAAUUAAGCACGAGCGUCAUAUGCCACUUUAAAAAAAUCGUAUGUUUUAUCAUGGAAACGCUGGUUUGGUGUGUCAUUUUGUUCAUGUGAAGAUUCUAGGGUCCAGUUAUUGUA